GAUGAAGAACGUAGCGAAAUGCGAUAAGUAAUGUGAAUUGCAGAAUUCAGUGAAUCAUCGAAUCUUUGAACGCACCUUGCGCCUUUUGGUAUUCCGAAAGGCACACCUGUUUGAGCGUCAUGAAUACCUCAAUCUCCAUCUUUUCUUCGGAUUGAUGGGUGACUUGGAUGUUGAGCCCUGCUGGUAUGCUAUAUCAGCUGGCUUUAGACUUAUUAGCCGGCUCUGUACUGGAUCGGUUUGACUCGACGUGAUAAUAUUAUCGUUGAGGAUGCAUGUCUCAUGCAGCCGGAAAGUAUCAAAGCAGCUUCUAGCUUGCCUUUAGUGCACUUUUACAUUUUAGACCUCAGAUCAGGUGGGACUACCCGCUGAACUUAAGCAUAUCAAUAAGCGGAGGA
rnacentral:misc_RNA from 1 species